CACAAAUAUUUUACUAAUUGCACUUCCCUUUGUAAUUUUCUAUGUUUCGGUUGUACUUCCGCAUGCAAUAUGAUGGAUAAAUUUGGAAAUAGUUUAAAUAUAUUGUUGAUAUUAAUUUUCUGUAUCGUUUACCAUACAGACGCUCAGUGUGCGCCAACCCUUUUUGGAGUCGGUUGCAGAUUUGAGUGCCACUGCAAAAACAACGAAUCUUGCGAUGAUUUUAAUGGCAAAUGUCCUUCAGGAUGUGACAAAUAUUGGGCAGGACCAAGCUGUCAGUAUAGGAACAUCGCAGUUGAUGCUUUUAUUCGACAUUUAGAUGAAAUUUCCAAUUCAAGUCUUGCAGUAGAUGGGGAUAUAUCAACAUGCGCAGUCCCGAAAAACGACAAUACAAGAAGUACCAAACCAUUUUGGAGGAUCUGGCUGACAAACAAUCACACUAUAACAGAACUUGAAUUUGUAACUACUGAUACCUUUAAAGACCAUUUUACAGAGUUUAAAGUAACGGUUGAGUAUGUACCAAAGGACUUUGCAAAACUGGACAAUUAUGAUUCCUAUGGUUUGUAUAUACAACCAAUACAAGACAUUUGUUAUGAAAACAAGCGAAAGGUAUCGGACAAAGUCAUUAAUGUGGUAUGUAAUAGAGCUCUAACGGGGAAUCAAGUUCGAAUACAGCUAGAAAAACCUGGGACCCAGCUUGUGAUCUGCGACUUCAGGAUAUUUGAAGGGCGGAAUAUUGCUUACAGGCGACGGGCAAUACAGAGUUCUCAUAAUGCAGAAGGACAAUCUGCAUCUGCUGCUGUAGAUGGUAUUACACAAACAGGCAACAAGAAUGCUUGUAGUGUCACACAAAAAGAAAAGGAUCCGUGGUGGAGCGUUGACCUAGCACAUGUAAUGAAGAUCGAUCGGGUGCUCAUCACUCCAUUUGGAACAAAUGAUAUUGAUGGAUAUCACCUCUUUACCUCUAACGAUUCUUUAGCUUGGCUUGGUGUAAACAACGAUAAAGGACGAGGGCAGAACAGCAAGGCUGAUUUCACGGUUGAUGUAGUUGCAAGAUUUAUCAAGAUCUCGUUUGAAAAUGAGACCAGACAGCUACUCCUUUGUGAAGUCCAAAUAUUUGGAGAUUGUCUCCCGGAUGUGUGCGGGUUUGACUGUGUAGAUGUUUGUCACUGCAGGAAUUCUAAUUCAGAAAUUAAAAUGUCUGGGAACUGUACUAAUGGCUGUCAAGACAAAUGGACAGGCGAAGGCAAGAAAUGCGACAGAGCUUCAUCUUGUACUGAACCUUCUGGUAUCUACAUGUCAGCUGUAGCAGUUGCAUUAACAUCAAUCGGAGCCAUUGCUCUAAUUGUCGGAAGUGUUUGUAUCACCAUAUUUGUUAUGAAAAGAAGACAAACAAGCAGUGAUACUUCGAAGAACAGUUCCGGAAAAAAACAGGCAGAUCAGACCCGACCAGGACAGUUGAACAGACUUAAAAAGAGGGUGCUUGAUGUAUAUUACAAUACUAAUCUUAGGCCGAAAAGUAUGUUUAGAGACCGAUCCUGAACCGGACCAAGAACUUGAGGGUUAUAUGGAACUUGAUACACUUUCAAGAAAGCAAGGAAUUAGUGCACAGCUAGAGAGUUAUUCCAAGCUUCAAAAAAGUGCCAUAAAAGCUACAAAAAACAAACUACAUCCCAUUUCUUAAACAAUGCCGUUACGUGUUACGAUUAGUGAUUGUAAAUGUGUCAACUAUAAAGGGACAUUACUCACCAACCACUUAAUAGUUACUGAAGGAACUGUGAACUUUACAACUACAGAAACUUCGUUGUCAAACAUCACAAUUUUACAUGAUAUGAAGAACGUAACUAUUUACAAAACCAAUUUAAAAAUCUAUAAAACCGUGCACAGGAAAGCCGAAAUGUGUUUUUAUUCAAAGGUGAUCUUUAUUCAUAUUAAGUUAAACAUACCUGGUGCAAACGUUUAACUUGUGAUCCUGAGGUCGUGCUAGUCUCUACGCUUGUGACGUUGUGUUCAGAUUUGACAAUCAUUGUCAUCGAGUAUAGGUUAGAAUGUAUUAAAUGCCUCCACUGCUAUUUUCUAUAUAAAUAUCAAUUUAUAACAUGUUUUAUCAGCAUUUCUAGCCUUUCACUUCUACCCUUGUGUUGAAGGUCUGUCAUAAGGCAUUCAAAACAUACCAAAAAGAUAUGGCGUUUACUAUAAUGCAAUGAAAUCAUGGCCACGUGACUGAGACACGUGAUGAAAACGAUAAAAUGGCGAAAGUAGAGAUCAGGAAAUACUUACUUUCACCUUCAUUUUACCCAACAGCUUCGAUGUAACUUCAUUCGCAGACAUUAAAGCUUUCAUCUGGCAUGAAAAUGGCCUUUACUGGGCGGGAAAAUGACGUUGUAUAUUAAUUGGGACAACAUUCGAGUGGACAUCCAGCGAAUUACUACCUUCGUACCUAUAAGUGAUACAUGUAUAUUAGCACUCUUACAAUAAAAAGUACUGAUAAAAUGUACAUACUAGUAUCAAUUUAUCUCUUUAUGAUAAUAUUUGUUAUCAUUGUCGUUUUAUUUUUAUCCUUGAUCUGCCAGCGCAUGUAACAAAGCUCUUAUUUUUGUAAAGUCAUGGUUUUCUUUUUAAGGAGGAUUUAGCAGUUUUAUUUUUACUCUAUUAUUUUUAUCUACUGAUGUACUUUUUUUGUGACUGAUGUAUUGUAUUGGCCUUUUUGUUUAAUCAUUUUAGAUUAUUGGUUUAACUUUGCGAACUAAUUUAUAGUUACGUAGUAAUAUAUUUGGCUAUUGAAAGUGUACGGAGGAGAGUACGGUGUCUAUAUUUCGCAACUUUGCAUGAGCUUGCUCAAAGUAAGAGGAUUUUAAUGAUAGAAAUCUACAUAUUACCAAAUAAUUAUUACAACAGGGUUACCGAUAAUUAUACACUACGGAAGGUUUUCACUAAAUUUUACUACAGAUCGUCCGAACUUUUAAAGAAAUAUAACACAAACCUUAUAAUACUUCUAAAACUUGGUCUUACACACCCGGUAUGCUAUGUAGAUGUAGUUUUUAAAAUUCGAAAACUUAAACAUAAUGCUUAUUUAAUCAAAUAUUUGUAAAAUGUGUCAAACAAUUUUUCAAAAGAGGAUACAAUACGAAAAUCGUGAAGCACAGUGCAUGUUUGGUGAUUGACCCCUCUUCAGUUGAUCGCAACGCUUUCCUAUUUGAUGGUGCGAUUACUAAUAAAGUGUAAGACUCCUUGAUGCUUUUCUCCUAAAUCAUACAAAAACGGACGGAUAGAGUGGAUGCCCUAAACGCGUUUAAACCCCCAGUUUCCUUUUCAUAAGUUACUGACCGUUCCAAGGCGGUGUUCCUAUUUUAGACUUGUUUUCUGUCCGUCUCGUACUUUGUGUUGCGUAAGUUUCCUUCUUUCUUGUUAGUGUUUCUUUUCUCUUUCUCCUCACUACCCCUAUUACCCCCCUCGCCCCAUCCCAUCCCUUUCCCUUGCAUUUACGCUUCCUUGCUUUUGCUGCCUCUCUAUUUACCACAAGUAAGUUAUCGUGCCCACCAUUAUUUUGUCCGACGUCCGUCCUUGGGUGGUGCCCGACUGUUUUUUUUUCCUGCUUAUGUAUGUGAAUGUGUGCGUGUAAGUGUGUGUUUGUCUUGGGCGGUGCACUACAGUGUUGUUUUUUCUUACUUGUCAGUUUUUCUCUGUGUGUUAGUUGUGUGUGUGUUGAGGGGUGGGGGGGGGGGGAGUAUUUGUCUUUUGUGCGUAUCUGCGAUGUUGUAGGAAUACUGCGUUUAAGGAACGUGACUUUUCCUGUUGAAUAUUCAUCCUUGCUCCCCCUUCCCCCACUUCCCCCAACAGCCGACCCUUUUAUCUACCCCUUACCACCCACCCUAUUUUUUCUGUAUUUGGCAUAUAUCUAUAAUGUACUUGUUUUUGGAGUUUUGAAGCAACCCGUGUACAAUUUUUUCCGUUACAGCUUCUUUUAAUUGUGGGCCGACUUUGCGAUGCAUGGCUCUAUGACUGUGUUUGGGGUGUUCUGUGCUUCCGGGAAAUCUACACUUACAUUUUGUUCUCAAUAUACAGAUGGUAACUAUAUAAUCAGAGUUUAUUUACAGUUUUGUAUUUUCGUUUUACAUUUGUAUUGCAUGCUUUUAAAGUAAUAAAUAUCUGAAACAAUAAAAUCGUCGCCUUCCGCGGACAAGUUAGGGGAAAUUCAUGUUCUGACGUGAUAUAUUAUAACUCAGUAUUGAGUGUUGCCACCUAGUGAAAUGUUCUUGCUUUGAGUUUCAGCAUUCUUUGGUAAUAGUGUACAUCAGUUGUAUAAAAAUCUAAGGAAAAGUAUACAAACAUCUUAAAUAUUCAUUAUUUCAAGUGUAAAAAAGCAUAAUACGGCAAAUCGACUUAAAUAGUGUAAGCACACGAAACUCGGAUAAAUUUUGCAGAUAUGUAGAAGCUUCAUGUAUCAAUAAAUUUGAACUGAA